CAAUAGCGUAUAUUAAAGUUGUUGCAGUUAAAAAGCUCGUAGUUGGAUUUGUGGCGUACGGUGUGUUCCGGGCACUUGUUGUCUGAGUAACCUGCUGUUGCCAUCCUUGGGUGGAACCUGUGUGGCAUUAGGUUGUCGUGCAGGGGAUGCCCAUCAUUUACUGUGAAAAAAUUAGAGUGUUCAAAGCAGGCUUAUGCCGUUGAAUAUAUUAGCAUGGAAUAAUGAGAUAGGACUUUUUUGCUAUUUUGUUGGUUUGCGCAAAGAGGUAAUGAUUAAUAGGGACAGUUGGGGGUAUUCGUAUUCCAUUGUCAGAGGUGAAAUUCUUGGAUUUUUGGAAGACGAACUACUGCAAAAGCAUUUACCAAGGAUGUUUUCAUUAA
rnacentral:rRNA from 1 species